rnacentral:rRNA from 1 species
AUUGAACGCUGGCGGCAGGCCUAACACAUGCAAGUCGAACGAGUGGCGGACGGGUGAGUAAUGUCUGGGAAUCUGCCUGAUGGAGGGGGAUAACUACUGGAAACGGUAGCUAAUACCGCAUACCAUCAGAUGAUCCCAUAUGGGAUUAGCUAGUAGGUGGGGUAACGGCUCACCAAGGCGACGAUCCCUAGCUGGUCUGAGAGGAUGACCAGCCACACUGGGAAUGAGACACGGCCCAGACUCCUACGGGAGGCAGCAGUGGGGAAUAUUGCACAAUGGGCGCAAGCCUGAUGCAGCCAUGCCGCGUGUAUGAAGAAGGCCUUAGGGUUGUAAAGUACUUUCAGCGGGGAGGCGUUACCCGCAGAAGAAGCACCGGCUAACUCCGUGCCAGCAGCCGCGGUAAUAC